AUGGAAAUAAUUGAAUUGAAUUGUGUAUGAUCCCUGAUGUUCUGCUUUUCCAGAAUGGGUGGUGCACUGAAGGGAGCACAGGUAAUUGAUAAUCUGCCAACUAUUGGGAUUGAUGAGACUGUGCAUGAUCUGCCUGCCCCUGAAGUCCCUCUUGAUGAGCCCUUGAGUCUCGAGCUGCCAAUUUUGCCAGGCCCUCAGAAGGUCCUCAAUGCACUGGUGUCUUGAGGACUGGUUUAGUGUGUGACAGUGUUGCCCCCUUUUCAACAAACAUCGCCAUCAGGGGCACUGCAAUGAGUGUUGAAUGGAUCUGCCCCAAUGGACAUUGCCUAUGACGGUGGAACUCACAGCCUGUGUUGAAGUUUGGCAUGCAGGCUGGGGACUUUCUUCUUUCCACAAACAUUUUACUCUCUGGAAACAACUACACUAAAGUUGCUCUCCUAUUUAAAUUCAUGAAAAUGCGAAUGGUAAACCCUA